rnacentral:pre_miRNA from 1 species
UUAACUCAUAUUUGUAUGUAAUGGGAUCGUUUGCGUGCGUUUGCCGCUAGGGGCGCUGUUCCAACUGCAUACAAAAUUGCGUUA